rnacentral:misc_RNA from 1 species
GUUAGCUUGAUGGAGCAGUCACUGACAUGCAGAAUAUAAGGGGCGACACAAGAUUUUCCAAUUUUAUAGAUAUGCCCCACUGGAGAUAAAUCAGGUAUUUAAUAGAGCGCGUAGAGAUAGAGCAUAAUGCUCAGAGGGAGUUCUCUUUGUAGAAGAAGGGAAAAUUAUGUGUGAAUGCUAUUCCUUUGGCUACCUUAUGGAUAAUAUGAAAGCCAGAAACUGGAUGCUUCUAACAAUAUAAGAAACACUCUGGAAAAAGUAUACAGAAAAUGAUUGUGCACGCUUCACCCUUGGAGGAUUGGAAAUUUGUUUCAAGAUUACUUUGAGAUUGUCAAUUUUGUUGAUAGCCUUUUGUUGAGAUCUUCUAUAGUACUUUAGUGUAUACACCGAAUGUACAUGUCCAUUUGAAUGUAAAUUUAUUGUUAAAGAAAAAGGCUCCAACCUCAAACCAAUGGUGCCAUGUUGAUUUCAUCAUAAUUAAUCAGUUUAUUCAUAUGUUCAGAACUUCAGCCUAUGAAAAUCUAACCUA